CCAGAGAGAGCAGCACUGAUCAGACCCAAAGCUCAGCUUCUUCUCAGUCUCAUUUGUCUACUUUUUCUGUAAUUCGCUGUGUGCUGCCGUGGCUCGCAGGAGACCAGAACUCACUGCAGAAGUUCUGGUAACGUCUCCUUCCCCUGUUCCCUACAUUGUCUCCUUCAUACCAGCCAUGGUUUUCAAAGUAUCAAACUUGUUACACACUGAGAAGGAGCUACUUCCACGCCCUCCAGACUCUGCGAGGCUGCCAUGGUGCACUGUGGGAGCCACUCCAGAAACAAUUGUGCACACAUCCAUGAGAGUGGCUGUGGACACCUGACCCUGUAUUUCUGCAGCUUGGAUUUUCAACAUAUUCUUUAGGGCUCUGUCUCCUCUCAUGACUGCACACAGACAGAGGCCGUGCACGCAGCGCCAAGUCCUUCUGCCACAGCCCCAUCCUCCAGCUUCUGCAGCUCCAGCCUGGUUGGCCUAGGAAUUGUUUUAAAAUUUGAGAAGAGGUCUUGCGAGCUGGGCUCAGACUUGCACUCCUCUCGCCUCAGCUUCCCAGGGAGCUGCGAUUACAAACGUGUUGCUGCUACUUUCCUUCUCUGUCUGUUCCCUUUUCUCUCUUUCAAUCCCCUCCUUUCUUUUCUUUUCUACCAGUGCUGGUGAUUGAGCUUAGGGCUUCAUACAUGCUAGGCCAAGUCCUCUACAACUGAUCUAGACCCAUAGCCUUAAAACUCUUCUUAAAUUGAUAAAUUUGUAUUUAUUGUGUACAACAUGAUGUUUUAAAGUAUAUAUACAUAGACUGCAAACUGACAUUUGCAUUACAUCACAUAUUUGUUUUGUUUUGUUGUGCUGGAGAUUGACCUCAGGGUCUGUCAUGCUGUGUAAGUCUGUUACCACUGAGCCACACCUCCAGCUCCUCUAUUUGUUGUUUUUUUGUUUUGUUUUAUGAGACAAGGUCUUGCUA